AUGCUACGUUUCUAUCUGUUUCCUCAAGCUAGCUACUCACUUCUCAGCCGAGGCACAAUGCAGGGAGACGGAGCUCCUUCAUCUUUUAUUCUGAUUGAUCCGGGUUCAUCUUACCCAGUAACACUAAAGCGAUCUGGAGAGGAAACCAGAGUUUUGUCCAGCCUCCGUUACUAUUUCUGUAACGACGGAUGCCAGGCGAGGCCGAUGCGCGUCCCUCUCCAGGUGGGGCGGUGCAAUGCCGGACAGGCUCUCGGCUCAUCUUUUGCUGUCUUAAAAUCUGCGGCUGCUUCAGCGUCCCUUGGUGCGCGGUGUCCUUAUGCCCUUAGUGCCGGUCCCCACCAGCCCGGGGCUGCUCCAGUUCCGCUGCCAGCGUCCCAGGAGGGAGGAUGAAAAUAUCGGUGGAUGCCCAGGGGACGACGAGUUGCCGGUGAGUGACAGACCUGUGACGUUCUGUAUAACAUCUGCAAUUUCAUCUGCUUCUUUUCUUAAACCGUUAUUGAACACGCUCAUGCAAAAUCCUGCACUGUUUCCCAGUUAACCCGUUAUGAUUUCUCCUCCAUCGUUCCCAGCAACAUUUCCCCGUGAGCUCUGUGUACCUUAAUACUAGCUGAGCUUGCAGGGGCUGCAGGCACCCACUGCUGCCCAGCGCCUGGCUGGGGCUCGCUUCAGCUGUGCCAGCUGCAUCCCAGGGAGCCCUAUUAGCUUCAGGGUGUGCUCUUUGGAUCUUAAAAGGCUGAAGUGAAAACUGGUGGCUUGUGGGAAGCAUGAUGCCGUUGAGGUAGAAAUGCUUGGAAAGAUGCUCACGAUCUGGCCUGGACCAGGAGCGAGACCAGAGGCUCAAACCCAGAUUUUGAUGGGAAUGGGGCUGGGACCUGCUGAGUGCUGUGCCACGUGUCCUGCAGACCAGCUUUCCCAUGAAAUAAUUGGUUUCAGAAAGACCCAGUUUUGUGCCCGUCCUGCUGUCGGCUGUCUGAGCCUACCCCUAGUGUCCCAAGUCCUGGUCUGAGUGCCCGGGGUGCCACCGGCCCCGAGGAGCUCUCCAAGUUGGUGGCGUGGAAGCCUUCAAACACCUGCUCAGCACAGCGGGCUGGCAGUCUGCUUUCUGUGUACAGCUACAGGAUGGUGCAAGAUCCUGCUGCUGGGAUGUGGUGGCGCUUGGUGGCUGCUCAGCCCCCCAGGAAGCCCCAGGGCUCGCAGGAGCAAGGUGGGCUUGGGAUGAGACCCAGGGGGACCCGGGCUCCUGUACAGCAGCAGCUCCUGCUGCACUCUGCCAUGAGCUGUUUGAGAUGAACCCCCUCAGUGUCAUAGGGCUUGGGGAAAGCUCCACUUUCCUGGAAGUUGGGAAAAAAAAAAAAAAAGAAAUGCUUAGUUCUGUGUCCUAACUCUGAUUUUUAGCUGCCAUGAAGUACUUGUGCCCGUUGCAGUGGUGCUUUCCCUGGUGCCCUCCCAGCCUUGGCGCUUCGUGCCUCCCACCAGCCAAAAUCUGGGUGCUGCAGGGAAAAGAUGGGAAGAGGUUUACUGAGCUUUGAAUGGCAGAAUCAAAGGAAUUAAUUACUCUUUAUAAAUAAACAGAAAAUAUUUAUGAUGGCUUGCA
rnacentral:lncRNA from 1 species